GCAACACAUCCUUAGAAUUACUUAUUUUUCAAUAGUCAUCGGCCAAUAUUCAUCCGUGCUGGGCUUGUUGUGAGAUGUACACGGGGACCAGCUGAAUAAAGGUGUCACUAUUGCCAAUCUGCCGCCUUUCCUCCUGAGUGAAAUCUUUUCCUUUCCUCCUGAGUGAAAUCUUCUGGAACUGCAUUCAUGUGCAAAGAUUAAAAGGGUGUGCGCUUUAUGGCAGCAGCUCUUGAGCAGUCGUCGCGCGACCGAGCAAAUCCGGAUCUGUUUGGAAACAUGUUCUAAAGAAUCAAAGUCAGACAACUUCAACUGCAUCAAAGGUGCAUACCUUCUUAGCCGUACCGUCAGCUCAGCGACAAAGAGCCUAGCUAUACGGAAACGUUUCUUCAACGAUCUCUAUUUAUACAGUUUGCUGAAUUCCAUGCAGAUCAAGUUGCCAAUACUAGUUUUUGAAGAUUACGCUUUUACCGAACCCAACAGCCUUACCAUGUUCCCAAACGCAACGAGGAUUCCCAUAUUCUCCGGAUCUAGAGACAUGCGGUUUUUUGUGUGCUUUGGCGCGACAAUAUGGUUAACAAUUUAUCAGGAUACAAGCAAGUGCAUCGUGCUCCACAACUGGAAACUUAGCAACAUUUUUGGCCUUGCUCUGACACAAAGUUUUAAUUCUCGUUAUAACGUGUUCCCGCUCGUGCCUCUGCCAGCCCAUGAGGUUAAGUGGAUGAAACCUCCCACACAAGAGUCCGAAAUACACGUACUCGAGAUUGACAAAAUCCAAGUCACCAUCCCGAAGCUGGUUUUCGACUGCAGCAACGAUUUGGUUAGUAUGGUCUGUAGAUUCAUGUGGGCAUUGGACGAUAAUUUCCCACCUGUUGCGGAGGAUGUUUAUGCACAUGUCAAGAGCGUUCAUGCUCGCUGGGUGCAGACUAUCGCUUAUCCUCAUGAAUGGGAGACAAUCCGGGCAUUUUUAUCAGUGUUCAGCGGAUUUCACGCCGAUGGAACACCCAGAUUAUGGAUGGAAACCGAUCUGAGACUCCUGGAUGUGUGCAAGCCUAGCAGAAUGGCUCUGCUUGGAAUCGGGGAGCUGUUUCGCGCGUGAUGAAAUGAAUUCAUGUGUAUUAUUUCGUCGCGUUCGCUCUUUUCUGGUUCUGCUGUUUCUUAAAUUUCAAAACUAGCUAGUAUCUGCUACUCGAGUAACUGGUAGCUGCUUAAGUGAACAGCUUGGCCUCUUAAUUUUUGAAAGCUGUGAAAACGUCAGUUUACUGAUAGCUAUCACAAAUUCCAGUCCAAGUUAAAAGCAUUAUUGCAGCA